UUUAGAUUGUCGGUGUGGUGAUUGCUUGUUGAGUGGGCGGUGGCGACAGCUAGAUUGUGACUGGAGCGCUGAUGGUAGGAAGUAGUGUAGAUUCCGGAAGCGAUCCGGAAAUGGAGGAUGAAAUGGCUGAUGCAGAUAGUGGAGGCAAUGCAAGUAAUGAAUGGAAAGUGGUAGAAACUCAGAAAAGAAAGAAAAGUUGGGGACAAAUCUCAGAAAUGGACAGUGAAAAGGGAAAUCACCAGGCAAGAAGGAGGAAAGAGGAAUAUAAGAAAUCUUUGUUAAGCUGGCGUUUGUUCGGGCGGAUGCUGCAUCCGUAUAUGGUCCAUAGCUGGUCCUCUGCUGUGUUUCUCCGCAUUUGAGCAUUGCAGAUGAAGCCUGUUUGGGUGAUUCCUGCUAUCUGUAUGCGACCUAUUAAAGUAAGGGCUGCUGGAUAGAUGAUUUGGUCCGCAUUAUCUGGUGUUUAAACCAGCCUGUGAGCGUGUCUGCUUCUGUGCUUCCGGCCCUGCAUGGCUUAUGCAGGGAUUACAGCAUGGCUUGCAAUUUCAACACUGCUGUUUUGCCUUUACGUGAUAUUUAAUUAAUCUGUUUUGCCUUAAUAUUGCUUUCAUUAUUAUGUUUGGCAUUUAUUAUUUUGUUUUCCUUUAAUGUAUGUUUUGUAUGCAAGUCUUGUGCUUGUAGUCAAUUUAUUUGUCUGAUUUGUAUUUAUUUGUUUUGCAUGCAAGUCUUGUGUUUGCAGUUAAUUUGGUUGGUUUGUAAUUUGUCUUGCCUGAAUGUAUGUUUUGUAUUUAAGUUCUUUUGUUUGUAAUUUGUUUGGUUUGCAUUUAUUAAUGUGAUUUGCUUUAAUUUACUUUUGUAUUUAAGUCUUUCUUUUGUUUGCAGUUAAUUCAUUUGGUUUUGGAUUUGCGUUUAAUCUUUUUGUUUACAUUUAAGCUUGUUGCAUUGUGAAUGUUUGUUUUGCAGUCAAGCAUUCUGUUAUUUAAUAAUUCCUUUUUUCCCCCCUUUAUUACUUUUUGUUUUGUGGCAAUAAGUUUGUUUGUGUUAUUUGUGAUUUGAUUGUUUGUAUAAUAAUUCUCUUCAUGUCUUUUGUGGGAGCUGGGGGCUUGGAGAAGGCAGGCUGGCUGUUCCCAUGUGGCAUUAGCCCUGUUCACCAAAGUGGUGUGGAUUUGCAGUGAAUUUCCUGGGGUCUAAGUGUGGUUUUGUGCACGUGUGGGUAUUAAGUAGUACAGGCCUUAUUGAAGCCUGGUGUCUAGCCGCCUCCCUAUUGCGAAUCCCCUGCUCUUUUUUUUUUUUUUGUUAACUCUUGUCCUGUUGUCUCGUGUGUACUCUUGGGCAGCUUGUUGUACUUGAUAUGUAUAAUUUUCCAUUUUUAUUGAAUGAGACAAAUUUUAACUGAGAUUGUUUAAUAAAGAUUUGUAUUUUUAUACAAGGUA